GGACCCGCACAAGCGGUGGAACAUGUGGUUUAAUUCGAUGAUACGCGAAGAACCUUACCUGGGUUUGACAUGUUAGUGAAAGUUUUCUGAAAAGAAAUCCCUUUAAAAGCUUGCUUUUAAACACUAUCACAGGUGAUGCAUGGCUGUCGUCAGCUCGUGUCGUGAGAUGUUAGGUUAAGUCCUGCAACGAGCGCAACCCCUAUAUUUAGUUGCCAGCACAUAAUGGUGGGGACUCUAAAUAGACUGCCCGGAAUAACCGGGAGGAAGGUGGGGAUGAUGUCAAGUCAGUAUGUCCCUUAUACCCAGGGCUACACACGUGUUACAAUGGACAGUACAGAAAGUUGCAAUUCCGCGAGGAGGAGCCAAUCUUUAAAACUGUCCCCAGUUCAGAUUGAAGUCUGAAAUUCGACUUCAUGAAGCAGGAAUCGCUAGUAAUCGUAGGU
rnacentral:rRNA from 1 species